GCGACUGUCAGACUGAAAAUUUUCAUUCAUGAAAUUUUUUUCUGCACGGGAGUUUUUCCUCUUCGACGGCAGGACGGGAGGGGACCCCUGAAAACAAGAGUUUUGUACUCCCGUUGGGAUGUUCACAUGCAUGUAUCAUCAGAAUUCUCCCAAUUUAAAAGGAUACAUAGAAAUCUUGAAGGACAAAUUGGCGCGAGUCUUAAGACACAGAUUUGAAGAUAAACAAGAGAAAAAGAAUGACAAACAUGGUUUAAAGGACUACAUACUUCCUGAUAUCUUUCAAACUGUUCUUUUGGUAUAAAUGAUACAUAGAAAUCUUGAAGGACAAAUUGGCGCGAGUCUUAAGACACAGAUUUGAAGAUAAACAAGAGAAAAAGAAUGACAAACAUGGUUUAAAGGACUACAUACUUCCUGAUAUCUUUCAAACUGUUCUUUUGGUAUAAAUGUAAUUUUACAAUUUAUAUUAUUAAACAUAAUUCCUUAUUAUUAA